GCAAUGUGAGACGAAAAUAAAACCUCGAAGAAAGGAGUCGUUCUUUUGCAUGAUGUUUGGAACUUAUCAUCUAGAAAUAUCAAAGUGUCGAUAACACGUAUCCUCUCUCUGGACGAAGAGUGGUCUUGUUUGCACUCGUGAUUGUCAUGUGGCAAGCCUUUUGCCCAAGCUCCGAGAGAGGAUUUCGUGUUGGUAAAACAUUAGAAGACAAUAUCGUCUUCUCCCUUCUUUGAAGCAAUGGCCCAUGUUUUAUUGCACGUUCCUUUUCCGAAUGAGGCAACCAGAGCACCCACCAGCCAGUUGUAGAGUCCCUUCAGCUCCAGAACGGCCGAACCUCUGCCAAGAACCAACGCAGCCCCUUUUCCAACCAACUCAUGGGAGGAGGGGAAAGAGAGUGAUAAGGAUAAGGCCAUGCACACUGAGCAAACACAUUCAUAUAGUAUAGCGCCUUUCUUGAGGGCCCAAGGCCGCCAACCCCACAAUUCUCGCUGCCCAAUGCAAACACGAAUGAGUGAACCAGUGUGUCAAGGUCGAGUUGAUGAUCCGAACGAGACAGAGGGAGAAAGAGCAUCAAGACAACCAACCACAACAGGAUCGAGGUGAUGAGGACCGAUAGAGGGGCCACUGAAAUGCUUCCGGAGUGCCAACGCGCUUUAUGCUGCCUUCCAAGGGGUGCUUAGGUUUGGUUAGGGAUGAUGAAGAGCUAGCACCCCUCCCCUCACAUGGCGAAUACGCUCACCUUACUAGUAUGCCAAACCGGAUUCGGAUCCAUGGAGAUCGAGUUGUGGUAUUCCAUCAAAGACAAUAUGGCAUUAUUUAUCGACUGUUCUGUUACAAAGCUUUACCUACGUUUGUAGCUCUCUUCCUUUUUUGGACCUUGACUACAAUCCAAUGUACUUUAUCCUCCAAUCAGUGGAGAGAAGCGUCAAGAGCUCAAUGACCUUUCGUUAUGAGCCAAAUCGGUGUCUGUAAGGUCACGAUGCUCUGCUGAGUUCAAAUAUCAGAAAAAUUUGAGAAAAGAAGUGCCGAUCAUAUGCGCAUCGUCAUUAUCCGAUAUUGAACUAUCCGUUUUCUCCCAUGACGCAUCAUCGGAAAAUCACCGUAAAACGAAAACGAACUUGCUCGUGAAAAUCCUUGAAUAAUCAAAUGAUGAGGCAUAACCUAAAGGUGAUGUGCAGGUUGUCAAGACUUCAAUGUAGGAUUUUUGAGACAUCACAUCGCUUCCAAUGUUGCAAUUAUGCCGACAGAAUGAUUAAAUGCUCUCUAGCCGAAUAGAAUGGGAUGCGCAUACCAAAUCAACUGAACUGCUUACAUCAACGAUUCUAGAGAGCUAUGGCCUGAAGGAAAAUGACAUCAUUUAAUUUGCCAUUUGUCGGAGCUUCAAUAUUCCUUGAAAUGCAGUUCAAUGCAAAAUCGAGAAGUAGUUGUGAAG